UCCAUCUGGAGAGCCUCGACG
rnacentral:misc_RNA from 1 species